rnacentral:lncRNA from 1 species
GGAGGGCCAACGGCAGGCAGAGUUCCAAGACGGGAGAGAUAGAGAGAGAGAGAGAUGUCAGAGGACCGCCUCAGUUGGGGGAAGGGGGGUUUAGGGUUUAUUCUUCUCGGGUCUCCGUCUUCCUCCUCUGGCUGUUCGUCCUCCCUGACGGCCCUCACACGAUCGUUGGCAACACCAAGAAACCCAUAUCCCCAAUAAUCGCCUCAAAUGCCAGCACCAUCUUUCUCUCUCCUCCCGCCAUUGCCACCGCAGUAAGAUCUACUCGCGGGGAUAAAUGGAGACCUACCCAGAACCAGAGAGGAAGAAGGGGGCAAUGGGCUUGUCUUCCUGAGGGAUCAUCCUCCCCCUUCCACGGUUGGCGACGAUUUAGGGAUUCGGGGAGGAAGAAGACGCCGGCGAACCUUCUGAAGACGCCGAUGAGAACCCAGAUUUGCAGAGGCGGCUCGGCAGCGUAGCCGGGAUCUUCCAGGCCCUCAAUCGCCACGGCCGCCUCACCAGCCGAGCGAGAGAGAGAGA